UGUUGGGUUAAGUCCCGCAACGAGCGCAACCCCUAUUGUUAGUUGCCAGCACAUUAUGGUGGGGACUCUAACAAGACUGCCUACGCAAGUAGAGAGGAAGGAGGGGACGACGUCAAGUCAUCAUGGCCCUUACGCCCAGGGCUACACACGUGCUACAAUGGCGUAUACAGAGGGUAGCGAGCGGGUGACCGUAAGCCAAUCUCGGAAAGUACGUCUCAGUUCGGAUCGGAGUCUGCAACUCGACUCCGUGAAGUUGGAAUCGCUAGUAAUCGCGGAUCAG
rnacentral:rRNA from 1 species